rnacentral:lncRNA from 1 species
UAAGAGAGAGAGAGUGGUUACGCCUUUUCUUUUCUUUCUUCCCGGAGACACGCAGUAUGCAUGUUUCCUCUUCCUACUGCACUCUCUCUUCGUUGCUUGCUCCACUUUUACAGACAACUUACUGUGCUUUUUCUAUGUGUGGUUAGUACAAAAUAAAUAUCUUCUUGAAGCUCGCUGUAGCAUUUUAGGCGUUUGGGCAACCUCGAUAAGUGUGGCUUAAGAUGUCAUAAGCGUAGCAAUUGAUCAAAGACAUCUCUUUAUGAUUUUAGGCAACGCUUUUUGGGGUAGCCUAAUGUACCGUAACCUUUGACCUAUGGACAUGCUUUUUACGUGUCACCAUAAAAGCCACG